GUGCUGGUUUUAGCAUGUAUGCGAAAACUGGAAACAUACAGAGAAAAUCAAAAUGGCCCCUGUACAAGGAUGACAUGUAGAUCUGUGGUCUUCCAUUCUUUUUU